CAGCCACCCCAGAACUGACUGAACAGGCAUACCACUCAAUUGACACAGAGCUCCAGGAAGAAAUCACAGUCAGCGUUUCCCCCUAUCUGUGAUUUGAGUGGGGGGGUCAUAUAUAUAUAAAGGGAAGGAUAAACACCUUUAAAUCCGUCCUGGCCAGAGGAAAAAAUCUUUCACCUGUAAAGGAUUAAGAAGCUA